GAUGAACGCUGGCGGUAUGCUUAACACAUGCAAGUCGAACGGGAAGUUUUCGGACUUCUAGUGGCGGACGGGUGAGUAACGCGUGAGAAUCUGCCUUUUGGACGGGGACAACUGCUGGAAACGGCAGCUAAGACCGGAUAUGCCCUUGGGUGAAAUAUUGUAUAGCCAAAAGAGGAGCUCGCGACCGAUUAGCUAGUUGGUGGGGUAAGAGCCUACCAAGGCUGCGAUCGGUAGCCGGUUUGAGAGGACGACCGGCCACACUGGGACUGAGACACGGCCCAGACUCCUACGGGAGGCAGCAGUGGGGAAUUUUCCGCAAUGGGCGAAAGCCUGACGGAGCAAUACCGCGUGAGGGAGGAAGGCUCUUGGGUCGUAAACCUCUUUUCUCAAGGAAGAAUCAAGUGACGGUACUUGAGGAAUCAGCAUCGGCUAACUCCGUGCCAGCCGCCGCCGUAACAC
rnacentral:rRNA from 1 species